rnacentral:misc_RNA from 1 species
AAAUAGGACCUAUUUGGGUAGUUAAACGACUCAAAAUUUAUUGUGAAACGCAACUAAACAAAAGAGAAAACUGUAAAUGAUUUUCGUGCAUAGAAGUACCAUAUAUAUCUUAAUCACCGCUUAGAUUAUGGUAAACAAUAAUCUUGAGUUUACAAAGUGACAACAGAAGAGGCGAAAUUGGAAUCACGUGGUCCAUACUAUUUACGUUUGGAGCGGUGUGACGUCAAAACACUAUUUGUUAAAUGUGAAAAAUUUCAUUGAUUUUUAGGAAUAUGUCCUCAGAUUAAAUGUUUCAGGUUUAAUCAAAAUGACCGAUUCACAAGAGAGAGGACGCAAAUUGGUAUGUUGAGGACAAAACAUUGUAAAAGUUUUGCAUUCACUGCUUGAUUUAUUGUGAAAAACCUCUGCAAGCAGCCAUUUUGAUAUUCUCUGACCAUCUUAUCACUACAGUAUUUAUGAUUAAAAGUUUCGAUCAUUUAUCAAAGGGCUGUCUUAUUUUUCUUUGGAGCGUAUGUGUUAUUGAUUUGUAGAUCUACUGGUGAAAUAGAAAUUCAAAAUGUUACAUUAAACUUUUAUGAAAA